AACAGUAAGAAAAAGAAAAACAAAACAACCAAAAAAACGUAUAGUGCAGGGGCGCUCUUCACUGCAAUCUCCAGAGCAUGUACCAGACUUGUGCACAGAAUGAGCCUUUCAUGAGAUGAACUAAAAAUAAUAUACCUGGUGUUCUCAAAAGGUUACAGUAAAUUUGUAUUAUGUCUAUAGAGGUAAGAAUUAAGAAACAUUGUUCACCUAGAUAAGUAAAUGAAUAGAAAUAGUUUUAUUAUAGCAAAAUCAUUCCAUUACAAGUUACACACUAAAAGUCAAAUAGUUGUUAUGUUAUCAGAAAGCGUUUUUAAUGAUGUAUCAGUUGAUAACUCAAUUGGGUCCUUCUUCAAAUCACUCACAAAGAAGGAAUUGGAAAGCAUAUGAUUUGCAAGUGGAUUUGUUAUCUAGUCAAUUUAGUCAUUCACUUUCUCAUUUUCUAAAAAGUAUGUAAAAAAGGCUUUGCUAAAAUUUGUAAAAUGGAAAUUUAUUAUUCCUGUUACUCUUUCACUGAGAGGCACCUUGUGUAAUAUCAUAUACACAGAAAGGGUUGGGAAAUUGAAAUAUUGUUAAGUUUUUAUAUACUGCUUUUAUCUUAUCACACAAAUUUUACUGUUUUCACCAAAACCUUGGAGCUGAAAACAGACACAAAGACAUUGGUGAAUGAAAUGUCUCAUUCUCUAUCUCAUCAUUGAGAAUGUAAAAUGCAGAGGAAAUGAGCUUUGUAAAAGAUUCAUGUUUCCCAGAAUACUGCAAUUUUUAUUUUCAAUACUUCAAUAUUUAUACUCUUAGAAAGACAAAGUAUGAAGCCUUGUUAUGAAUUGUUGACUGGAUGAAAGAAGGCAUGCCAUCUUCAUUUUUUUUCUGUAAGCUUCUUGUGAAGUCCUGGCAGAAUAAUGAUCCUGUUGCUUUCAGAGACAACCUCAAUAAUGCAUCCUUAGGUUUUGGUCCUGCCCCCAGAAGCAGACUCUGAGAUGAAGAUUCAUGUAUGAGUGACCUGUUAAGGAAGUAAGUGCUCCCAGGAGGAAGUAGCCAGGGAGUGAGGGAAGCAGAGCAGGACUGGGGAAGAAACAAAUCAGGAGUGAGAUUUCAGGUGAAUCCAAGCAUUGGGGAAUUCUGGAAUGUAAAUCACACCACAGUUUGUCCCAUCUCAAGGCAAGGGAACUGGGCUUUCACAAUCUUGUAUCAGUCAGCCUCUGGCUAUGGGCCUCCCUUGGGCAUGGAGGGCUAGGUGGACACAAACUUCCAGGCAUGUCUCCAGAUAAGACAACUCUAAUAGUUCAAGGACACUUCUAUAAAGAAAGCUGCAGGUAUGAAUCAUUAAUAACAAAACACACAGAAGCUGUGCUUUGGGCAAACAGAGUCAGUAGGAAACUAGGUAACAGCAAUGACAUCAUCCACUACAUUUUAAAUCAGUUUAUUCUCCUUUCCAGUCUCACUCUCUCCAUGUCUUCACUCUUGCUUUCUGAGAUCACAUCCCAAAUAAACUUCCUGCGCCAAAGGCUUUGUCUUAGGUUCUGCUUUCAAGGCAACACAAAUGAAUUCUUCCUCCUUUUAGGAUGAAUAGCUUUCAGGCUUUUCCCCAAACUAAGACUUGGUCUACACCUAGGCAUGUCUGGAGCAGCAGCUUCUGUCUUUAAAGUUGAUUUUAUUUAUUGAGUACCAUCUUAUCAUUUACCUCCCUACAUACAGAGCAAGCAACUGUUUUGUAUAAUU
ensembl:lncRNA